AACGAACGCUGGCGGCAGGCCUAACACAUGCAAGUCGAGCGAAGCCUUCGGGCUUAGCGGCGGACGGGUGAGUAACGCGUGGGAACGUGCCCUUUGGUACGGAAUAGCCCCGGGAAACUGGGAGUAACACCGUAUGUGGUCGAGAGACGAAAGAUUUAUCGCCAAAGGAUCGGCCCGCGUUGGAUUAGGUAGUUGGUGGGGUAAUGGCCUACCAAGCCGACGAUCCAUAGCUGGUUUGAGAGGAUGAUCAGCCACACUGGGACUGAGACACGGCCCAGACUCCUACGGGAGGCAGCAGUGGGGAAUCUUAGACAAUGGGGGAUACCCUGAUCUAGCCAUGCCGCGUGAUCGAUGAAGGCCUUAGGGUUGUAAAGAUCUUUCAGUGGGGAAGAUAAUGACUGUACCCACAGAAGAAGCCCCGGCUAACUCCGUGCCAGCCGCCGCGGUAACAC
rnacentral:rRNA from 1 species